rnacentral:rRNA from 1 species
AGUGAACGCUGGCGGUAGGCCUAACACAUGCAAGUCGAACGGCAGCACAGGAGAGCUUGCUCUCUGGGUGGCGAGUGGCGGACGGGUGAGGAAUACAUCGGAAUCUACUUUUUCGUGGGGGAUAACGUAGGGAAACUUACGCUAAUACCGCAUACGACCUACGGGUGAAAGCAGGGGACCUUCGGGCCUUGCGCGAUUGAAUGAGCCGAUGUCGGAUUAGCUAGUUGGCGGGGUAAAGGCCCACCAAGGCGACGAUCCGUAGCUGGUCUGAGAGGGUGAUGAGCCACACUGGAACUGAGACGCGGUCCAGACUCCUACGGGAGGCAGCAGUGGGGAAUAUUGGACAAUGGGCGCAAGCCUGAUCCAGCCAUACCGCGUGGGUGAAGAAGGCCUUCGGGUUGUAAAGCCCUUUUGUUGGGAAAGAAAUCCAGCUGGCUAAUACCCGGUUGGGAUGACGGUACCUGCAGAAAAAGCACCGGCUAACUACGUGCCAGCAGCCGCCGUAA